rnacentral:rRNA from 1 species
GAUGAAUGCUGGCGGCAGGCUUAACACAUGCAAGUCGAGCGGGGUGAUGGUGCUUGCACUAUCACUUAGCGGCGGACGGGUGAGUAAUGCUUAGGAAUCUGCCUAUUAGUGGGGGACAACAUCUCGAAAGGGAUGCUAAUACCGCAUACGUCCUACGGGAGAAAGCAGGGGAUCACUUGUGACCUUGCGCUAAUAGAUGAGCCUAAGUCGGAUUAGCUAGUUGGUGGGGUAAAGGCCUACCAAGGCGACGAUCUGUAGCGGGUCUGAGAGGAUGAUCCGCCACACUGGGACUGAGACACGGCGCAGAGUCCUACGGGAGGCAGCAGUGGGGAAUAUUGUACAAUGGGGGGAACCCUGAUUCAGCCAUGCCGCGUGUGUGAAGAAGGCCUUAUGGUUGUAAAGCACUUUAAGCGAGGAGGAAGGGUGGUGUGUUAAUAGCACAUCAUUUUGACGUUACUCGCAGAAGAAGCACCGGCUAACUCUGUGCUAGCAGCCGCGGUAA